rnacentral:rRNA from 1 species
UACGUAGGGUGCGAGCGUUAAUCGGAAUUACUGGGCGUAAAGCGUGCGCAGGCGGUUCGCUAAGACCGAUGUGAAAUCCCCGGGCUUAACCUGGGAACUGCAUUGGUGACUGGCGGGCUAGAGUAUGGCAGAGGGGGGUAGAAUUCCACGUGUAGCAGUGAAAUGCGUAGAGAUGUGGAGGAAUACCGAUGGCGAAGGCAGCCCCCUGGGCCAAUACUGACGCUCAUGCACGAAAGCGUGGGGAGCAAACAGGG